AAAUAAGCAUAUCAAUAAGCGGAGGAAAAGAAACCAACAGGGAUUGCCCUAGUAACGGCGAGUGAAGCGGCAACAGCUCAAAUUUGAAAUCUGGCGUCUUUGGCGUCCGAGUUGUAAUUUGCAGAGGGCGCUUUGGCAUUGGCAGCGGUCCAAGUUCCUUGGAACAGGACGUCACAGAGGGUGAGAAUCCCGUACGUGGUCGCUAGCCUUUACCGUGUAAAGCCCCUUCGACGAGUCGAGUUGUUUGGGAAUGCAGCUCUAAAUGGGAGGUAAAUUUCUUCUAAAGCUAAAUACUGGCCAGAGACCGAUAGCGCACAAGUAGAGUGAUCGAAAGAUGAAAAGCACUUUGGAAAGAGAGUUAAAAAGCACGUGAAAUUGUUGAAAGGGAAGCGCUUGCAGCCAGACUUGCCUGUAGUUGCUCAUCCGGGUUUUUACCCGGUGCACUCUUCUAUAGGCAGGCCAGCAUCAGUUUGGGCGGUUGGAUAAAGGUCUCUGUCAUGUAACUCUCUUCGGAGAGAACUUAUAGGGGAGACGACAUGCAACCAGCCUGGACUGAGGUCCGCGCAUCUGCUAGGAUGCUGGCGUAAUGGCUGUAAGCGGCCCGUCUUGAAACACGGACCAAGGAGUCUAACAUCUAUGCGAGUGUUUGGGUGUCAAGCCCGAGCGCGUAAUGAAAGUGAACGGAGGUGGGAACCUUUCGGGGUGCACCAUCGACCGAUCCUGAUGUCUUCGGAUGGAUUUGAGUAAGAGCAUAGCUGUUGGGACCCGAAAGAUGGUGAACUAUGCUUGAAUAGGGUGAAGCCAGAGGAAACUCUGGUGGAGGCUCGCAGCGGUUCUGACGUGCAAAUCGAUCGUCAAAUUUGGGCAUAGGGGCGAAAGACUAAUCGAACUAUCUAGUAGCUGGUUCCUGCCGAUUCCU
rnacentral:rRNA from 1 species